GUGAAUGAUGAUAUGCACUGGGCUCUGAGCAGUUUUUAACUGCACUAUUGAUGGAAAUGCUUAGCCUAGAAAGCUUUGUCUGACAC